AUUUCUUCUCUCUCUCCUCACUCUCUCUCUCCCCACAGUUCAGCCGCCACCCUCCCCAAUUUGCAGCCACCUCCAGCCGCCACCACACCUCACCGGACCAGCCAAGGAAGCACCGCCACCACCUCCGCAACCCAGCCAGCCUGCUCCGCCGUCCAGCCGCCACGAAGCUGCCAGAAAAAACCAGAAAAUCGCGGCAGAUUUUCUCCGAUUUUCAAAUCCCUCAAACUCCCUCCUCCGGCCACCAAAUCGGACGAAUUAGGCACCCGGGCACCAGGUGACCCGCAGGAGGGACCUUCAAAGGGUCCAGCUAGCUCAGAGUAUCUG